rnacentral:misc_RNA from 1 species
UUUUCAUUUCUGCUUGCUUUUUGGAUUUUAAGAUUAGAACUUGAUUUAAGUAUGGGAUAUUUUAUUUUUGUGCUAUUUCUGUGUGUUUUUUAGGCAUGCUACUUCUGUGUUAUUUUUUCAUUGUGGGAUAUUUUAUUUCUGAAAUAUUAAAAUGUGAGGGACUAAAAUGUAAUUUCGUCUAAUAAGUGAAGAUCUUAAAAUUUAAUUUUCUUAGAAGUGGGAUUAAAGUUUGUAAAUGUGAAUUCUGCUUGGGAGAGUUUUUGUGAUUUACAUUAUGCACUGCAUAGAAGUACAAGUAAGGUUAUAAAGAUUUUGAGAAUUAUCAAUAAUUUUUUAUUAUUUUCAUAAUUAAUCUAAAUACUUGUAUAUUUGCACUAUACUUGACAAAAAGCUACU